UCUCGAUAGCGUAAAAGUUAAGUCAAAUUUGUAUGGAGUUGGAAUGUUUGCCUAUGUUUGCCACUAGGGGCACUGUUCGAGCUGCAUACAAAUUACAGGUAACUUUUACGCUAUCGA
rnacentral:pre_miRNA from 9 species